AUAUGUCGUGUGAUUUUUUAAGCUCCACAAUGGCGCAAUGACUUGUAUAACUACGACGAUGGACAACACCGAUUCAAUCUAAAACAAACCGACCUAUAAAAAAGCAGCUACAGAUUAAAAUUUUAUUGAUUUUAUUAUACAGCACGGAUUGGGACAAAUCCGGGUCAUAGAUAAAAUAAAUCACUUUUGACACAAGACACAAUCUUCAAUCGUCGAAGUUCAAUAUGACUGUGAAGGAGAACAUCGUGAAGAAAUCUGCGCACUGAGAAAAAACUGGUUAUUAUUACAGGCCGACUUCAAGCUUCGUGGCCUGACAGCUAACAUAAUCAGGAACAUUUGAGAACGAGAGAUUUUGCAAGAUUGGUUUACAGAUAAUGGCUUUUUAGGACGAAGCUGAUUGCGAGUGGGUGCGAGACCGACCUACAGAUUGGUGGAAUUCAAUGGAACUCGAUUUUUGUAUCGCAUUAUCACUGCUUCCCGUAUUCGAAAAGUUGGCAUUAUUCGAUUUGCCAUUUCAAUAUUGGCCACGCAAAUAUUACAGCUUUUUAUUAGUGUACACAUUUCUCGUGGGGCUUAUUAAUUUUUGGAAUUGCCCAACAAACGAAGGGUCUCGAAUAUUCGACACAUGUUACUAAUAGCAACUAAAACGACUUAGAUAAUUUGUUUUUAACUAGAUGUUGUCUGCGGCUCAGUAAUGUCAGUUUU